rnacentral:rRNA from 1 species
AGUGAACGCUGGCGGUAGGCCUAACACAUGCAAGUCGAACGGCAGCACAGAAAGAGCUUGCUCUUACGGGUGGCGAGUGGCGGACGGGUGAGGAAUACAUCGGAAUCUACUUUAUCGUGGGGGAUAACGUAGGGAAACUUACGCUAAUACCGCAUACGACCUACGGGUGAAAGCAGGGGAUCUUCGGACCUUGCGCGAUUGAAUGAGCCGAUGUCGGAUUAGCUAGUUGGCGGGGUAAAGGCCCACCAAGGCGACGAUCCGUAGCUGGUCUGAGAGGAUGAUCAGCCACACUGGAACUGAGACACGGUCCAGACUCCUACGGGAGGCAGCAGUGGGGAAUAUUGGACAAUGGGCGCAAGCCUGAUCCAGCCAUACCGCGUGGGUGAAGAAGGCCUUCGGGUUGUAAAGCCCUUUUGUUGGGAAAGAAAAGCAGCAGGUUAAUACCCCGCUGUUCUGACGGUACCCAAAGAAUAAGCACCGGCUAACUUCGUG